AUGAGUAUCUUUAGGAAGUUUGCUUCCAAGAAGAACUUCAAGGGAGUGAUUGGGGAGUCAUCUGACCGUGAUCUCCAUGCCCGAAGAAUGGCGGAGCUACGGCCGUGCGAGUGGCCGCAUACCCCGUUCAUGGAAGGGGCCGGAAUCCUUCAGGAGUUUACACAAUAUGUUGCUAAUCCCGGCCUCACCGACUUCAUCGCAGCUGAAUGUGAACAGUAUCAUCUCCUCACAAACUCCUUUGUGCAAAGUUUUACUUUCCUUCCAAGGAAUAAUCCCCUUGAAGUGCAGUUUAAUUUAUUCGUUGAACCCCAUCAGAUACCGCUUACUGGAUUUUGUGAUAUAUGCUUGAUCCCUUCCGAUGGGAGUUUAGCAGAGCCUAGGCCUGCAUACUUCAAAGGCUUUUAUCGUACUCUGUCUGUAGGGGAUGAGAGAGGGGCGUCGAGUGUCACCACUACUGCUUGCAUUUUCAUGCCGUUCAUUAUUUUGCUCUUUUCAUUGCAAAGUGCUUGCUUGCUAGAGAGAAGGUGGGUGCACUCAGUGCCCCAGACCUUGCUGUUUUACGCCGUGCACUCCAAGGCGACACCACUUAUAGCUUGGGAGCAAUUGUGGCACGCCGCCUCCAUAUUAAUAAAUCCAAGGGCAAAAUACAUGGUGGUAUUUAUGAAGGAAAUAUGCCCUAGAGGCAAUAAUAAAGUUGUUAUUUUAUAUUUCCUUAUAUCAUGA
rnacentral:rRNA from 1 species